rnacentral:lncRNA from 10 species
AAACUUUUUUAAGAAAGCCCACAUUUUGUCAAUGUUUAUAAAACCAAAUCAUUCUCUUCAUAGGUUUAGAUAGUCAUACAUUUAAAAUAAUGGUACUGUAAUUUUAAAAUUAUGAAGGUAUUUUUAUAUAAUUCAGUCUCAUUGCAAAAUCACUCCAUGGAGACUAUCUUCCAGGCAGCUAGGCACUUCAAGAAAACUUCCAGAUUUAUGAAGGCAAGACGUUUCUGCCUUCUUCUACUGAAUUCACCCCCAAACCACAAGACAAUGAGAACCAGAAUCACAACUCAAUUUUGGACAACACCAGAAGACAUUUGUAACUCAGAACUCUGUUGUACAAGCAGAGGACAGUGGCAGGAAAGGUCAAACCAAGUGUCUGAAGAAAGGCUCAGGAACCCAAGGCACCAGCUACUGCAGAAGGUGAGCAAGAAGUGCAGGCUGAAAACAAGGGAGUUAUGUGAGUCUAUGUAAGGGACAGAGUCCCCCAAUUUUCAGUCCUAUUAGCAAGAAGCAGGACGGCAUCCUUCAGAAAAACUGAAAAGAGAGCCUCUGGAUAUAGAGUCACAAGGCACAGAGUGGGGCAUGGUGUACCAGACCAGACCCAGGGGACUGGAUGAAGUCUGCAUCUUGAAUGGAGAGACCUCCAGAUGUCUGGUUUUCAACAACAACAAAAUUACAAGGCAUAGUAAAAGAAAAAUAACAUAGG